AUAAAUACUGUCUCUUAUAAUUGCAACACCUACUGUGUUUGGAACUUCAAUAUUAAUCUGUCUAUCUAGAGUUACAUUUGUAAUAUUUAUCAAUUGAGUGGCGUUAACAUUCCACAACGUCACAACUGCUUCAUUCGUUCCCAGUACGAUAGCUAUUCCAAAUGGCUUACCAGGAAUAGUACAUGAUCUUAAGUGUUGACCCUUUUCUGUCUAAAGUGAUACGUUAUCUUUA
rnacentral:lncRNA from 1 species